GGCAGCCGCAGAGGCGGCAGCGGCGGCGGCGCGGCGCAGGCACCGGCCCGGGGAGAGGCACCAUGAGCGGAUCACAGAACAAUGACAAAAGACAGUUUCUGCUGGAGCGACUGCUGGAUGCAGUGAAACAGUGCCAGAUCCGCUUUGGAGGGAGAAAGGAGAUUGCCUCGGAUUCCGACAGCAGGGUCACCUGUCUGUGUGCCCAGUUUGAAGCCGUCCUGCAGCAUGGCUUGAAGAGGAGUCGAGGAUUGGCACUCACAGCGGCAGCGAUCAAGCAGGCAGCGGGCUUUGCCAGCAAAACCGAAACAGAGCCCGUGUUCUGGUACUACGUGAAGGAGGUCCUCAACAAGCACGAGCUGCAGCGCUUCUACUCCCUGCGCCACAUCGCCUCAGACGUGGGCCGGGGCCGCGCCUGGCUGCGCUGUGCCCUCAACGAACACUCCCUGGAGCGCUACCUGCACAUGCUCCUGGCUGACCGCUGCAGGCUCAGCACUUUUUAUGAAGACUGGUCGUUUGUGAUGGAUGAAGAGAGGUCCAGUAUGCUUCCUACCAUGGCAGCGGGUCUGAACUCCAUACUCUUUGCGAUUAAUAUCGACAACAAGGAUUUGAACGGGCAGAGUAAGUUUGCUCCCACCGUUUCAGACCUCUUAAAGGAGUCAACGCAGAAUGUGACCUCCUUGCUGAAGGAGUCCACGCAAGGAGUGAGCAGCCUGUUCAGGGAGAUCACAGCCUCCUCUGCCGUCUCCAUCCUCAUCAAACCUGAACAGGAGACCGACCCCUUGCCCGUCGUGUCCAGGAACGUCAGUGCUGAUGCCAAAUGCAAAAAGGAACGGAAGAAGAAAAAGAAAGUGACCAACAUUAUCUCAUUUGAUGAUGAGGAAGAUGAGCAGAACUCUGGGGACGUUUUUAAAAAGACACCUGGGGCAGGGGAGAGCUCAGAGGACAACUCCGACCGCUCCUCUGUCAAUAUCAUGUCUGCCUUUGAAAGCCCCUUCGGGCCAAAUUCCAAUGGAAGUCAGAGCAGCAACUCAUGGAAAAUUGAUUCCCUGUCUUUGAACGGGGAGUUUGGGUACCAGAAGCUUGAUGUGAAAAGCAUUGAUGAUGAAGAUGUGGAUGAAAACGAAGAUGAUGUGUAUGGAAACUCCUCAGGAAGGAAGCACAGGGGCCACUCGGAGUCGCCUGAGAAGUAAGUUCCCCUCACACUUCUUUGUGUGUGUGUGUGUGUAAGGUGGAGUCUCACCGUCCCCCAGGCUGGAGUGCCGUGGCGUGAUCUCAGCUCACUGCAACCUCCACCUGCCUGGUUCAAGCUAUUCUCCUGCCUCAGCCUCCCGAGUAGCUGGGAUUACAGGCACCUGUCACCAUACCCAGCUAAUUUUUGUAUUUUUAGCAGAGAUGGGGUUUCACCAUAUUGGCCAGGCUGGUCUCAAACUCCUGACCUCAAGUGAUCCGCCUGCCUUGGCAUCCCAAAAUGCUAGGUUUACAGGCAUGAGCCACCACGCCCAGCCUCCCCUUGUGCUUUUAAUGAGGGGGUUAAGUUCACCGUUUUCUCUUUCUAUGGUAUUGGGUGAAAUAGGGCUGCAAGUUUUAUAUUUGCCCAGGGUAUCAUUCAUUCUUCAGGUGUUGAUUUAGGAGUGUUAUUUGGAAGGAGUGUUAUUUGCUCUUCCCCUGAGAACUGAAAGAGGGGAAGGGAGUACAUUUGAGGGCACUUAAUACAAAGUUAAUGUCAGAAUGUGUGCCUUGAAAUUCUUGCUUUAUACAUACAUCUGUCAUUUUCAUUUCACAGGGUUCACAGGGUUUCACAGUCUGAUGAGACUGUGCCUAUUAUUGUUUUUUCAUUUUUACUCUGGAUUUUCCUUGCAUCUGACUUGCCACUAGCACAGGAAGCUCAGGACGAAGGCAGGGUUAGGAGAAUAGUUGUGGUAUGGUGACUUCUGUGUUUAUCUGCAGGGGUGUGAAUAGUCAUAACUUGCCUGCACCUGCUGCCUUAACAGUGGAGUUGUCCGGGCGCACUGGCUCACACCUGUAAUCCCAGCACUUUGGGACACCAAGGUGGGUGGAUCACCUGAGGUCAGGAGUUCGAGACCAGCCUGACCAACAUGGUGAAACCCCUUCUGUACUAAAAAAAUACAAAAUUAGCCAGGCAUGGUGGUGCAUGCCUGUAACUCCAGAUACUUGGGAUGCUGGGGCAGGAGAAUCCCUUGAAUAUGGGAAGCGGAGCCAAGAUGACGCCAUUGCACUCCAGCCUGGGGCAACAAGAGAGAAAGUCCUUCUC
rnacentral:sRNA from 1 species